UACGCUGGUCAUUUGAAAGAAAAAAAUUAAAAAAAAAAAUAUAAAAAUCUAUCUCUGGGAGGAACUUGAGGGAGCGAGGUUCAACUCUUGAGAGCGCUCCCGCCUCGGCUGCUCGCAGCGCUUCGGGGCGGGGAGGCGGGGGGGGGGGGAACCGUGAACUUUCAUUUUCACGCCGCACACCCCAAAUCCGCCGCCCCCCCGCCCAAGUCCCAAAUUGUGACUGACCGUCAGGUAUCUGGCGGUGGGGUCAGCGCUCCUGUCCCCGUCCCCCCCCCCGCAGGCGGGGAAAGCGAGGCGGAGGUGGCGAGCGGCUGAAAAGCCGCGGAGGGGGAAGGCGGGCGACCGUGCCGCCCGAAGCGCUAGCCUGCACUUGACUUUGUGACUGCUGAAGGAUCCCGUCCUGGGAGCUCUCCUCGGGCUGUGCGGACCCCUGCCUUCGCGGAGAGACCCGAGGCAUCGCUGCCAGCGGCUCCUCAGGAUUUUUGACUUCAGUGGGUUGAAAACAGCAAGCUUUUGGGCUCGAAAAGCUUAGACCAUCAUGGCUACGAAAACUACUGCUGCUGCUCAGAAAAUAUGUAAUUCUGGAGCUCCUUAGUGAAAAAGUAGCGCAAAGCAACAUCAGAGCAGUUGCCAAGUGAUCUUCUCCACAGCACCCAUGAACUUCAGCCUUGAACUGAAGAGGACUCAUCAAAUGCCUUAGGAGAGACAGCACGGAAUUGGAAGAGAAGCAGGGGUCUCCAUGAAGGGCAGCCAACUACAGUCUUGGUGUGUGGAGGAACAGGUUCUGUUCUCGCUGUUGCUACUCCCACAUACGCGGACUCUGUAACUGAUUAUGUGUGGGUAGGGCCCUAUUGAAAUUCAGGAGAUUCUGCAAUAGUGCAGGGUUCUUUUUGUGAAAGUUCAGUUGCAAGAUCAGGACCCUACUGUGACUCCUUACUGUGAAUUCUGUCAGUGUAUCAUUGAUUGUGCUGGAACCUGCCUUUUGGGAUAAUGUAAGUCCUGCUCUUCCCCCAAAUGUACUUUAGACAUGAAAUAAUCAUAAAACAUUUCUAAUUAGAAAAUUAGUAUAAUUUACAUGCAUUCUUUUAAUUAUGUUUUUUUGGCAGUACCAAAUAAUAUAUUCCUCAAAACUUCUUAAUGGCACUGAGGCUUUGUGGAUAGUUGGUCACAUGAUGAGAAAAUUCAGCUGUAAGUACAUUGAAAUGAUUGAAUUUUUCAAUAGUUAGUCUUUACUUAUGUUGACAAACUAAUAAUGAUAAAAAGGUGAAUCAAGAGGUUUGACUUAUGUCAAUUGACUUCAGUUCUUUUUAGAAAAUAUAUAAAAUAUAUCCAUUAAGGAUUUUGUUACUCUUGGGUAAUUCACCAUGUGAACCUGGAGUCCUUCCAUGCUGCUGUUAGGCAGGGAGUUUUAAUUUAUUUGUUUUCUUUAUUUUCAGAAUAGUGUGUCUCUGACUUGCUCUGUAUUUUCACCCAUAAACUUUCUGAAAUUUAUAGAUCUAUAAAAACUGUUUAUACCACCAAUAUUUGUGUAGAUAUUGCACACUGAUUUACUAACAUAAUUGUCUUGCUGAGUUGAACAUUGAAAUGUUAAUAAAUAUACACUUGCACUUGUGUCAAUGUAACUUGGUUAAAUUAAACUAAACUGAGCUGGCA